AGAGUCCACAUCCAGAAGGCUGGAGCCGUGUUUCACUGACAGGCUGUCAGCCUAACGCCCUGAUGAGCUCAGCUGGGACAAACUGGUUUGAUGUUUAGGAACACAGAACGUUCAGAUGUUGAAGCUUCACGUCACCUACUGAGGAAGGAGACCCACCAGUAAAGAGACGGUCUGGACCAGACCAAAAAUAUGGCGAUGACAUCAUGGAACUGGUCUUUGGAAAAGUUUUCCCUGAACCAACUCCGUUUCUAGAUGAGGUAGAGAAGAUCUGCAUCUCACCAACCCUCUGGUCUCAGUAUUCAGACAACGGAGGUCUCCCACUGGUAUCCAGGACCAGUUUGAAGCCCACAUACAGCCCCUCCCUCAUCAUCAGGAAACAUCAAUCCGUAUCCUGAGGACAACAGAAGACGGCAGGAGGAUAGGAACUCUGAGACCUAGAUACCACCAGCACCGGGACCCAAAGCACCUGUGUGCACAACGCCGGUUUAACUACUAAAGCCUGUUUAUUAUAUUGUUCUACUUAUUUGCUGUGAGGUUAAUACUUAGACCACCUUCGGCGGUGGUCUCUUUGAGGCUCUGUCCAUUCUGGGCGCCACGGAUCUGAUGGUCCACCCCCCAUGAACUCUUCCUCGGGGUUCACAGGUAGGUA